rnacentral:rRNA from 1 species
GACGAACGCUGGCGGCGUGCUUAACACAUGCAAGUCGAACGGAAAGGCCUGCUUUCCCUUGUGGAUUGCGGGUACUCGAGUGGCGAACGGGUGAGUAACACGUGAGUGAUCUGCCCCCAACUUGGGUAUAAGCCUGGGAAACUGGGUCUAAUUCCCGAUAGGACUGCAGGGUGGUGCCUGUGGUGGAAAACGAUUUUCUAGUGGGUGGGGAUGAGCUCGCGGCCUAUCAGCUUGUUGGUGGGGUAAUGGCCUGCCAAGGCGGCGACGGGUAGCCGGCCUGAGAGGGUGGACGGCCACAUUGGGACUGAGAUACGGCCCAGACUCCUACGAGAGGCAGCAGUGGGGAAUAUUGCACAAUGGGCGGAAGCCUGAUGCAGCGACGCCGCGUGGGGGAUGACGGCCUUCGGGUUGUAAACUCCUUUCGACCGCGAGGAAGCCACCUGGUUGGAAGGGUGGUGACGGUAGUGGUAGAAGAAGCACCGGCUAACUACGUG